GACGAACCGUGCGAACGUUAUUCGGAAUCACUGGGCUUAAAGCGCGUGUAGGCGGAUGGGUGCGUCGGCUUCUGAAAGCCCCCGGCUCAACCGGGGAAGUGGGGCCGAAACGACCCGUCUGGAGGGACGUAGGGGGAUCUGGAACUUCCGGUGGAGCGGUGAAAUGCGUUGAGAUCGGAAGGAACGCCCGUGGCGAAGGCGGCCUUCUGGACGGUGACUGACGCUGAGACGCGAAAGCGUGGGGAGCAAACAGG
rnacentral:rRNA from 1 species